GGGGAAUUUUCCGCAAUGGGCGCAAGCCUGACGGAGCAAUACCGCGUGAGGGAGGAAGGCCUUUGGGUUGUAAACCUCUUUUGUCAGGGAAGAAGAAUUGACGGUAUCUGAAGAAAAAGCAUCGGCUAACUCCGUGCCAGCAGCCGCGGUAAUACGGAGGAUGCAAGCGUUAUCCGGAAUCAUUGGGCGUAAAGGGUCCGCAGGUGGCCAUUCAAGUCUGCUGUCAAAGACCGGGGCUCAACUCCGGGAAGGAAGUGGAAACUGGGUGGCUAGAGUACGGUAGGGGUAGAGGGAAUUCCCAGUGUAGCAGUGAAAUGCGUAGAUAUUGGGAAGAACACCGGUGGCGAAAGCGCUCUACUGGGCCGAAACUGACACUGAGGGACGAAAGCUAGGG
rnacentral:rRNA from 1 species